CGGAUUGCUGGUCUGAUCCAACUCCCACACAGGGAAUGGAAAUGUUCCCACUGAUGUAAUCAGAGCUGGAUCAAGACCAAGAUGACCAGCGAUUAAUCAUGAUUAUUUAUUUGUUAGCACCGGCGAUGGAUUUGAAAAUUUACAAGACAUAAAUAUAAGGCAGAUACUUCCCCGAAUUGCUCAGCAGCCAACUUCUCUGGUUUUACAAGAAGAGGCACUCUGGAAAGUCAGCAUGAGCUGUGAUCUCCUCCAGCAAAAUCACGAUGGCGACCUAAAAGUUAAUGAAUGUGAAGAUGAAGAUGGCAUAAAACACUGGGACAAAGGAUGUCCUUGAUGCUUUUCCUGUCCUCAGCAAACUGAGAGGUAGAUCUGAGCCUCAAGAACUGUGACAACACUCAACGACCCUGAGACAAGGAGGCUGAGCUGCUGCCAGAGCAAGAUCUGCUGUAAAUCAUCAUAAUUCCACUGAUAUGCUGGCUGAGAAGGGAGCAUCAUCCAUUUUCAGCAGCUGAAGAUUCCUGGAGUCCCCAUAAAGGCACUUGUUGAUGCAAAAUGUGGGCAAAUGGAUCAUGUAUCCCUCAGUACCCAGAGGACCAUCACACUUCAAGGAAACAUGUCAUUAGUGUCCAAUGCAAAGCCUGUCCUUUGAACCAUUAUCAAGGCCUGAAAUGAAGGUGUAGUCAGUGUGCAAGUUCUUAUCCAUGUUUGGAGUAGAGGGGAUGAAGAGAUGCCAAGAUGAUACCAAUUCAUGCAAAGAACCGAUCUCAGUGAUGCCUCAGCCUCCCUGCAAAGAGGGCACCCUGGACCAAAGCUGGCUGAGGAAUUUGGACAAGUCAAGUGCAAUGUGAGGAGGGAAAGUCAGCAUAAUAAAACAGCAGUCUUCAUGGAAAUAUGAACUGUACUGUCUUAGUGAGUUGUGGGGCUAGAUCCCAUCAGCAUCCAGGAGAUAAUGG
rnacentral:lncRNA from 1 species